rnacentral:rRNA from 1 species
AAUAGUUUCUUUGGUGGUGACCUACUACAUGGAUAACCGUAGUAAUUCUAGAGCUAAUAUAUGCGUAAAUCUCGACUCACGAAGAGACGUAUUUAUUAGAUAAAGACCGACCUCGUUCUGCGGUGAAUCAUAAUAACUUCACGGACCGCAUGGCUUUAUGCCGGCGGUGUUCCAUUCAAAUUUCUGCCCUAUCAACUUUCGACGGUAGGAUAGAGGCCUACCGUGGUGUUCACGGGUGACGGAGAAUUAGGGUUCGAUUCCGGAGAGGGAGCCUGAGAAACGGCUACCACA